AGAUGGAGGAAAUUACCAAUACAGGCAAUAACAAUGAAAAGGCUAAUCUAAUACGUGAGAAGCAAAAGAAAAAACAGGAACUGGAUACGGAUUUAACUGAAUUGAUUGAUCAACUUCUGGAGGAAACAAAGGAACAGAAGAUGAAGUUAACUGGUGGAGCUGCUGGAGAAGGGACAGCUCGUUACACAUCCACACCUCUCCUCUCUCCGGAGCUUCCUGCAGGUCUAGAGACAUCCAUCCCUCCAGCUCCCUCCAGUGAAACACAGCCUG